rnacentral:lncRNA from 1 species
AGAAGAACAAGCCAGAGAGUUGUACCGGAGACUGAGAGAGAAGCCAAGAGAUCAGAGGACAAGUGGUGACAGCCAAGAAAUAGUACGGUUGCUCUUACAGGCAAUCCAGACCUUCGAAAAAAAAGGUCCGAGUCAUUUAUGCUCAACUCAGUAAAACUGUAGUUUGCAAGCAGAAGGCACUGGAAUUGUUCCCCAGAGUGGAGAAAGUGAUGAAUCUGAUGAAUGAAGAUGAAGAAACGGUUGUAAGGCUUCAGGAGAAACGACAGAAAGAACUGUGGAACUUGCUGAAAAUUGCUUGUGUAAGUAAAAUAAAAACUCUACUGUAUUGUUAAAAUAGCAGCGUAC